rnacentral:rRNA from 1 species
UACGUAGGGUGCGAGCGUUAAUCGGAAUUACUGGGCGUAAAGCGUGCGUAGGCGGUUCGUUAUGUCUGCUGUGAAAGCCCCGGGCUUAACCUGGGAAUGGCAGUGGAAACUGGCGGGCUUGAGUGUGGCAGAGGGAGGUAGAAUUCCACGUGUAGCAGUGAAAUGCGUAGAGAUGUGGAGGAAUACCGAUGGCGAAGGCAG